CAGUCGCCGCGGGAAUACAGAGGGUGCGAGCGUUAAUCGGAUUUACUGGGAGUAAAGCGUGCGUAGGCGGCUUUUUAAGUCGGAUGUGAAAUCCCUGAGCUUAACUUAGGAAUUGCAUUCGAUACUGGGAAGCUAGAGUAUGGGAGAGGAUGGUAGAAUUCCAGGUGUAGCGGUGAAAUGCGUAGAGAUCUGGAGGAAUACCGAUGGCGAAGGCAGCCAUCUGGCCUAAUACUGACGCUGAGGUACGAAAGCAUGGGGAGCAAACAGGAUUAGAGACCCCCGUAGUCCCUGUCUCUUAUAA
rnacentral:rRNA from 1 species